ensembl:lncRNA
GCUUUCUCUGUUAGUCUAACUUCAGUCUUCUCCCUUACCUAGCCUCUGCAGGAAAGGCUGAAGUGGUGUGUGCCAUGCCUGUUGCUCAUUGGAAUCACAAGGGGAGAUCCAACAGUUCCGAAGCCAUGGCUCAGAUGGCAGUCCAAGUACAGAGUACACGUUAGCGCAAUGGAAGAGAACAGAAACUUCU